GAAGUUGAAAUUGUUUAAACAUUACAAUGUUCUAACCAAACAAAAAAAGAGAACUCAAAAUAUCUAAAUAUAAUCACAGUCAUGAAGAAAUUAUCUUCAUUCAAAUAAUCAAACAAAAGCAUCAGCCAUUUUAGAAGGAAGCUGCUAGUAUGCAUAACGAAGUCGAAGAACUUCAUAAUCAAAUCCGGAAUUCAAAUAAAGAUGCAAAAUAAACUGUUUUUGUUGAUGAUCUCAAACAGAAAGCUCAGAACAUAUAAUUACAAGCUCAAAAAACGAAAAUAGAAAAUACCAGAACCUUAACAGCAAGACUUACUAACGUAAUUCACAACAGAAGAAUAUAAAAGAUAAAUCUGCAAAUCAUUAGAGUUAACUACACAAAGGGGUAGGAAAUCGAAACAGAAAUAAUGCACAACCUUGAGGGUCUUCUUUUAAAGGGAAAAAAAUCUGAGUUCAUGCAAGUUAUCAAGAAUCAUCUAACAAAGAUGAAAACUGCCAUCAAUAUUUUUUUUAA